UAAAAUAAUUAAGGGCACACAAAGGAUGCCUAGGUAGUAAGAGCCGAUGAAGGACGUGGUAAGCUGCGAUAAGCCUAGAUAAGUUGCAAUCGAACGUAAGAGUCUAGGAUUUCCGAAUGGAGCAAUCUAUUAAGAUGGAGUCUUAAUACGAAAGAGGGAACCGCGUGAACUGAAACAUCUAAGUAACGCGAGGAAAAGAAAGUAAAAACGAUACCCAAAGUAGCGGCGAGCGAAAUGGGUCAAGCCUAAACCUUAAAUAUGUCAAGGAUACAGCCGUUGUAUUUAGGGGGUUGAGGGACAGAGUAGUGAAGAACUGUAAGAUAUUCAAUAUAGUGUAUUGAUGAAUUGGAAUUGUCUGGAAAGGCGAACCGUAGAAGGUGAAAGUCCUGUACAAGUAAAUCCUUACACAUAUAACUCUGCUCCCAAGUAACAUGGAACACGAGGAAUUCUGUGUGAAUCUGUGAGGACCAUAUCUCAUAAGGCUAAAUACUCUUACUAACCGAUAGCGCAUAGUACCGUGAGGGAAAGGUGAAAAGAACCCCUGGAGGGGAGUGAAAUAGAACCUGAAAUUGUGUGCUUACAAGCGGUCAGAGCCAGUAAUGGUGAUGGCGUGCCUUUUGGAGAAUGAUCCUGCGAGUUACGUUAAACGGCGAGGUUAAGUAUAACGGAGCCGAAGGGAAACCAAGUCUUAAUAGGGCGAUUUAGUCGUUUGGCGUAGACGCGAAACCUGGUGAUCUAAACCUGUCCAGGAUGAAGCUGUGGUAAGACACAGUGGAGGUCCUAACCCACCGCCGUUGAAAAGUUGGGGGAUGAGGUAGGUUUAGGGGUGAAAAGCCAAUCGAACCAGGAGAUAGCUCGUUCUCUCCGAAAUGCAUCUAGGUGCAGCCUUGAGUGUUCAAUUAUGGGGGUAGAGCACUGAAUGAUCUAGGGGGCGUAUUGCUUACUGAAAUCAAUCAAACUCCGAAUACCAUAAUUUAGAGCUCAGGAGUGAGACUAUGGGAGUUAACUUCCAUUGUCGAAAGGGAAACAACCCAGACCACCAGCUAAGGUCCCUAAUUAUAACUAAGUGGGAAAGGAGGUGGAGAUUCACAAACAACUAGGAGGUUGGCUUAGAAGCAGCCAUACCUUUAAAGAGUGCGUAAUAGCUCACUAGUCGAGAGUCUCUGCGCCGACAAUGUAACGGGGCUAAGUUAUAAACCGAAGCUGUGGAAUCCGUAAGGAUUGGUAGGAGAGCGUUCUGUAGGCCGUUGAAGGAGAAGGGUAACCGACUCUGGAGGUAUCAGAAGUGAGAAUGCAGGAAUAAGUAGCGAGAAAGGGGGCGAGAAUCCCCCUCGCCGGAAGACCAAGGUUUUCAGGGUAAAGCUUGUCUUCCCUGAGUAAGCCGGGACCUAAGCCCAGGCUAUAAUGCGUAGGCGAAUGGAAAACAGAUUAAUAUUUCUGUGCCAGUCAUAUAUUGUGAUGGAGGGACGCAGAAGGGUAUGCGCGCGGACGAACGGAAGUGUCCGUAGAAGUAUGUAGGAUGACUUGAUAGGAAAAUCCAUUGAGUUAUAUCUGAGGUAUGAUAUACAGUCGUAAGAUGAAUGUGCAAAUCCCACGCUGCCAAGAAAAGCUUCUAACGUUAAUAUUUGACUGCCCGUACUGCAAACCGACACAGGUGGUCAGGAUGAGAAAUCUAAGGCGGACAGGCUAACUCUCGUUAAGGAACUCUGCAAAAUAACCUCGUAACUUCGGGAGAAGAGGAGCCCUUGAGGGUCAGUAUCCACGCGAUACAAAGCGCUCGAGGGUCGCAGUGAAGAGGCUCAAGCAACUGUUUAACAAAAACACAGGUCUAUGCUAAGCUGGAAGGCGAUGUAUAUGGGCUGACACCUGCCCAGUGCUGGAAGGUUAAGAGGAGGAGUGAGAGCUCCGAAUUGAAGCCCCAGUGAACGGCGGCCGUAACUAUAACGGUCCUAAGGUAGCGAAAUUCCUUGUC
rnacentral:rRNA from 1 species